AUUGAACGCUGGCGGCAGGCCUAACACAUGCAAGUCGAACGAGUGGCGGACGGGUGAUUAAUGUCUGGGAACCUGCCCGAUCGAGGGGGAUAACUACUGGAAACGGUAGCUAAUACCGCAUACCAUCGGAUGUGCCUAGUUGGGAUUAGCUAGUGGGUGGGGUAAAGGCUCACCUAGGCGACGAUCCCUAGCUGGUCUGAGAGGAUGACCAGCCACACUGGAACUGAGACGCGGUCCAGACUCCUACGGGAGGCAGCAGUGGGGAAUAUUGGACCAUGGGAGCAAGCCUGAUGCAGCCAUGCCGCGUGUAUGAAGAGGGCCUUCGGGUUGUAAAGUACUUUCAGCGGGGAGGCGUUACCCGCAGAAGAAGCACCGGCUAACUCCGUGCCAGCAGCCGCGGUAAUAC
rnacentral:rRNA from 1 species